AAUAUGAAAACAAAAUUGUAAACAGAGUUCUAGAUAAUAAACAUUGAAGGUGGAAUAGCAAGCAUAUUUAAAAUGUCUUUUUAUUCAAAAUAUCUAUGAAUACAACUCAGGUUUUGGUGAAUUCUUUGUGCUGGAUAGGUUUUUGCUUUCAUUAGAAUAUACAUAAACUUGUUAAUUUUUCAGGCUGUACAUUUUGUAUAUCAAAAAUAGCUUUAAAGUUGAAAUAUUUAAUUGGAAGGAGGAUUCUUUUAAUUUUAGUAAUUUGGAGACAUCUUUCUUCUCCAAAUAUUAAAUGCUAGCGUUGUCUUAAAAUGUUGCAAUACUUUGAUUUUGAAUGACUUUAUUUAAACCUAUCACCUUGAACAUCUGAUAUUUUUAUUAUCUAGAGCUCUGUAAAAAAAAAAAAAAAAAUAUGUGAAAAAAAAAAAAAAAAAUAAUAUGAAAACAAAAUUGUAAACAGAGUUCUAGAUAAUAAACAUUGAAGGUGGAAUAGCAAGCAUAUUUGAAAUUUCUUUUUACUAAACUUGUUAAUUUUUCAGGCUGUACAUUUUGUAUAUCCAAAAUAGCUUUAAAGUUGAAAUAUUUAAUUGGAAGGAGGAUUCUUUUAAUUUUAGUAAUUUGGAGACAUCUUUCUUCUCCAAAUAUUAAAUGCUAGCGUUGUCUUAAAAUGUUGCAAUACUUUGAUUUUGAAUGACUUUAUUUAAACCUAUCACCUUUAACAUCUGUUAUUUUUAUUAUCUAGAGCUCUGUAAAAAAAAAAAAAAAAAAAUAAUAUGAAAACAAAAUUGUAAACAGAGUUCUAGAUAAUAAACAUUGAAGGUGGAAUAGCAAGCAUAUUUAAAAUUUCUUUUUAUUCAAAAUAUCUAUGAAUACAACUCAGGUUUUGCUGAAUUCUUUGUGCUGGAUAGGUUUUUGCUUUCAUUAGAAUAUACAUAAACUUGUUAAUUUUUCAGGCUGUACAUUUUGUAUAUCAAAAAUAGCUUUAAAGUUGAAAUAUUUAAUUGGAAGGAGGAUUCUUUUAAUUUUAGUAAUUUGGAGACAUCUUUCUUCUCCAAAUAUUAAAUGCUAGCGUUGUCUUAAAAUGUUGCAAUACUUUGAUUUUGAAUGACUUUAUUUAAACCUAUCACCUUUAACAUCUGAUAUUUUUAUUAUCUACAGCUCUGUAAAAAAAAAAAAAAAAAAUAUGUGAAAAAAAAAAAAAAUAACAAAAUUGUAAACAGAGUUCUAGAUAAUAAACAUUGAGGGUGGUUUUAAUUAAAAGUUGGCAUAUUUAAAAUUAUGUUUAUUAUUAUGUAUAGUGCACUGUAUAGUUUGUAAAUUUUUUAUUGUGAAGUAUUGGAAAAAUUGUGAAACUUUGGAACUGUGUUUAUAUGAGAUGUAUAUAUUCAGUCUUCAAUGGCAAUGGAGGACAAUAAAAAAUUGCUCUGAAGAAACUGACUUUUUAUAUAAAGAAAUAUCCAACAUAAGUGUUCAAUGAUAUCUAAAGAGAUGAAAGACUGAGAAAUACUAAAAGCUCAAAUUGAAGUUUUCUAUGAGAUUGGUGGAUUAAUUGCAUGAACAGUCAGACAACUGGCACACUUAUGCUAUAAGUAUAGCUUUUAAAAUAAAAUAAAGGACUUGUAUAAUAACAUUUAUGUUCUAUAAAGAAGAAAUGCUCCACAUAAUGUGCUAUAGAGAAGAUAUGUUCCAGGCCUACAUAUUGCUCUAUAGUGAAGACAGAUAUUAUAUAGCACAGACAGAUGUUCCUAAGUUGCACGAAGUAUUCAGAAGACAGACAGAUUCCUUUUACAAUGAAGUAUCUAGAACACAAAGCUUAUCAGAUUUUCAGCUCUCCAUUUCAUAUUCUGAUGUUUUCUUGAGAAAAAACUAAGAUUAAUUGUUCAUAUUCUUCCUGAAAACAGAAAUAUGUGAAAUUUUAGCUGGCGGAGAUAAUCAAUUGAGGAUUCUUUGCAAACUUGAUGACUUCAGAUUUCCUGUUCCAUACUUGUUCUAUAGAAAAUCCUAGGACUUUAGAGAAGAUUAUAUAAUCUAGAUUGAUGCAGCAUUGAAUAUCUAAAGAGAUUAGAAUGGACAAUAUUCUGAUUAAUUAAUGAUAGAUGUACAACAAAUUGUGCUACAAGGUUGAUAACCAGCAAAAUAAUUUGAUAGGAGUAAAACCAAAAGAGCAGGAUCUCCCCUCAUACAAGUUAGGAGGAACAAUUGAACUGAUGAACUUACAAAUAUAUGAAAGAAAGAAAAACAGACCACAUAGCAUAAGGAAAUAGACAGAUUAAAUCAUAGAGUAAAGGGAAAAAGAAACUAGCAACACUCUGAAAUUAUCACCAAUAUAGACAGAGGUUAUGUCUCUGAAAGUCUCAACUGAUGAUCAUAGAAACAUCUGAAGGUUAUACAAUAUGAGAAUAGCAGAACACAUGGAAUAAGGAAAGAGAAAAAUGAACUUGUAGACUAAAGGGUAGAUGAUAUUAGAAAAAUACUGAAAUUAACAAGAGAAACAAUCAACAAUAACCAUUUUAGAGGUUAGAGCUGACUCAAGGGAUGAACAUACAACAAAUUUUAACAUAUUUACAGCAUAGAAAAACAAUUAACACUUCCAAGACUUAUAUUCUUGUCAAUUAAAAUAUAUUAAUGAAAUUUCAUUAUAGUAUAUGGUCAGGGGGAGAGAGAGAGAGAAAGAUAUAGAAUGGAGGGAGAGGGAGAACACUUAUAAUGAUGAGUGGUGAGAGAGAAGAAACAAAUAUUGCAACUUGUAAAUUUGUCUUCAACCAAAACACAUGGCUUGCAUUGAUGUGUCUAACCUUAGACAUCUGAUAUUUUUAUUAUCCAGAGCUCUGUUAAAAAACAAUGUGAAAAAUAACAUGAAAACAAAAUUUAAACAGAGUUCUAGAUAAUAAACAUUAAGGAUGGUGUAAAUAGUGGGCAUACGGUAUUUAAAAAAAAAAUUUCACCAAUAUAUUUAUGAAAUUUUAAACUUAUAAUUGAGAAUGUUUAAUUAGACGUACAAUUCUUUUGAUUUUAGAUAUUUGGAGACGAAACCUGUUCUCCUCAAUUUAUUGUACUCUAAUAGUGUCAUAAAUUUGCAAUAUUCUUAUCCUUGCUUUAUAUACCUUGAACCUUAUACCUCCAAUAUUUUUAUUACCUAGAACUCUGUAUAAACAAAAAAUGUAAAAAAAAUAAAAAUGAAAAAAAAAUAAUAUGAAAACAAAAUUGUAAACAGAGUUCUAGAUAAUAAACAUUAAGGAUGGUGUAAAUAGUGAGUAUGCUUCAAAAUUCACACCGGGCAACCCCACCCAAAAUAUUUUUAUGAAAUUAAAUACGACAUAUAUUAUUGUGAAUGAUUUGUGUUUGAUAAGUUUUCUUUUCAUUAGUUAUAUUAAAUUGAUUGGUAAGCUGUACAUUUUUCUUAUGUAUUGAAAAUGGCUUUAAAGUUUACAUGUUUAAUCAGAAGUAGAAUUCUUUUAAUAUUAGAUAUUGGAGACUAAACCUAUCUUCCCCAUAUAUUAAACUUAAACAGUGUCUUAAAUUUGCAAUAUUCUUAUUUUGAAUGUCUUUGAUUAUAGCUUUACCCUUGGACAUCCAAUAUGUUUAUUAUAUUGAGCUCUGUAAAAAAAAAAAGAAGAAAAAUUAAAAAUAACAAAAAAUAAUAUGGAAACAAAAUUGUAAACAGAGUUCUGGAUCAUAAACAUUAAGGGUGGUGUAAAAAUUAGUUAUAUUUUGAAUUCUUAAAUGGCCUUAUAAAAGUUUGAAAUUUUAAAUGGAAGUAGAAUUCUUUCGAUUUUAGAUGUUUUGAGAUUAAACCUAUCAUCUCUGUUUACUGUGUAACAGUGUCUUCAAUUUUGCAAUAUUGUGAUUUUGAAUGUAUCUUUUAACAUUUAAAUUCCAUUCAGUAAUAAAAAAAUAGGUGA